rnacentral:misc_RNA from 1 species
UCUCCGUAGGUGAACCUGCGGAGGGAUCAUUACUGAGUGAGGGCUCACGCCCGACCUCCAACCCUUUGUGAACCCAACUUGUUGCUCCGGGGGCGACCCUGCCGACGACCUCGUCGCCGGGCGCCCCCGGUGGACCACCCAACCCUGCAUCGUUGCGUCUGAGUCGAAAUAUAAAUCAAUCAACACUUUCAACAACGGAUCUCUUGGUUCUGGCAUCGAUGAAGAACGCAGC